GUACACUCCUGCGGGAGGCAGCAGUGGGGAAUUUUGGACAAUGGGCGAAAGCCUGAUCCAGCAAUGCCGCGUGAGUGAAGAAGGCCUUCGGGUUGUAAAGCUCUUUUGUCAGGGAAGAAACGGUGAAAGCUAAUAUCUUUUGCUAAUGACGGUACCUGAAGAAUAAGCACCGGCUAACUACGUUCCAGCAGCCGCGGUAAUACGUAGGGUGCAAGCGUUAAUCGGAAUUACUGGGCGUAAAGCGUGCGCAGGCGGUUUUGUAAGUCUGAUGUGAAAUCCCCGGGCUCAACCUGGGAAUUGCAUUGGAGACUGCAAGGCUAGAAUCUGGCAGAGGGGGGUAGAAUUCCACGUGUAGCAGGGAAAUGCGUAGAUAUGUGGAGGAACACCGAUGGCGAAGGCAGCCCCCUGGGUCAAGAUUGACGCUCAUGCACGAAAGCGUGGGGAGCAAACAGGAUUAGAAACCCUAGUAGUCCCAUGA
rnacentral:rRNA from 1 species